rnacentral:lncRNA from 1 species
AGUAGCUCCCGAGCACGCCGGAGGCCUGGCCUGUGGAUGAGAUUGUUCCUUAUUUCCCCAGCUUCAGCACCACAGAAGAGACCAGAGUCUACCUUGCCAGCUCCUCUAGCACCGACCACGUGCCAAUUCAUGUCCUGAAUGCUCACUUCACUUCUUCACCUUGCUUCACUUCACUUACUGCACGGGAACAGAAAAGCCUAGAGAGGAUGGAUUACCUGUGCGGUUGCCUCCCUCUGCAGAGUGGGCGUGUCUCAGGAGCUUCUCUUCUUCUCCAGCCCAGUGCGGCCUCGUGUCAUCCAUAGGACCCACCGGCAGAGGGCAGGGCCUGCGAGUGGGGCCAGCCUCCUGGUGACUCUCGCCUCCUCUUUUCCAGCGGACGCUACCAGAGGACGAAGGUCUGACUCUGGCCAACGGCCCAGAAUUUCUGGCCCAGUUUUGCCUGAGGAAGCCAACUGUGCAGGAGGUCAGGAUCCCGGUAGGGUGAGAGUGGGAAAGUUAACAUUCCCAAGAGACUCCAAGCAACAGGAUUUCCUGACCUGGGACUAUUACCUUUCUCACAUUACAUGGCCAGAUUUACUUCCUGCUAUUAUUAAAAGUACGAAAAAGAUGAAGAUAUGUGUUUAAUGGAAACAAGGGCAAGAGUUUGCCUGACUGGACUUUGAGGAGGCUGUAGGAUCAUGGCGCUAACGGCAUUUGGAGGGCUGGGAAGGGACUCUAGCCCUGGCUUUACCUGCCUUUGUCAUCAGCUGGAGCAAGCAACUCCGCAACCUCGGAGCCUCAGUUUCCUUUUCUGUAAAAGGCGGGGAGGGUGGGUGGUAAGUGCAAUGCUGAAUCAGAACUCAUAGAGCUGCUGGGUGGACAUGUGAAGUAAAAGAGGAGACAGCUUUUGCUCCUGAAGGAUGCCAUUUGCGUUUUCCUCAUCAGUUUGAUCUCCUCCAAUCAUCCAGCACCUCCAUCUGACCUUCUCAGCUGAGAGGUCCUCAGUGUUUCUGUGGCCUCCAGGAGAAAGGUCCCCCUCCCCGGCUGAGGCCAGGCUGAUGGCAGGCUGCACGGCCAGCCUUCCACAGUCACCUGAAGGAUACAGAAAAGGAAGAGCUGGAGGCUUCUAGCAAGCUGCCGAACUGUGUCCUCCAGCUGCGCCCAGCCCCCUGGAGGUAGCGCCGGAGCACGUGGUGGUGGCUAUGUAGGAAGGCCCCUUUCGAGCCGCCCUAUACUGUCUUUGGGAUCUGCUUUUUACUGCCACAGCCUAUGUGCUCCUGAUUCUUCUCUCAAUCCCUGGAUGGAAACCGGCCUCUGAUACUUGGCUCUGCUUCCUUGGAGGAGCUACUUAACCAUUCAGUCCUCUCUGCAGUUAGCUAUUAAGGUUGUCCUGCGAACUGAAGCAGAGAGUCCCCGCAAAGGGUGCAGAGUAGGGCACCCACAGAGGAGCCUCUAAAGCACUUUCCAUGAGGUGGAUGGCUUCUCCUCCCCAAGGGACCCAGGAAGGAAAGGAGAGCUGCUUCUGCCUCCCCAGCAGAGAGGGACCUUCCCAGAGAAGAUGUCUUGCGCCUCACCUGAUCUUGUUCUGAGAGUAGGAGACUGGAAGAGAAGCGUUCAACUCCCCAAACACAGCUGGGUUUGUUUCGUUUAAUCUCCCAGCCUGUUUUUCUGCUGUCCUCCUGAAGAAUGUUUAAUCUCACAGUUAAAACCACCAAAAGCGACUUUUUUCCCCCUCAACUGCUCAGUAACACAUGACCGUGCAAAUUCGUUUGGCCCCAGCGCCACAAGUCAUAAAAGGCAUCUAGUGGGCGGCAUGAGUCAAUCAGGCCUUUGGACGGUGACGUAACCACAGCUUGUCAGUUUCCCCAUCCAGGCAGCCCCAAUCCCCCAGUGCAGACAUCUGGAGCCAGGGAUUGACAAGUGGAUUCCAGGAUUGGGCCCUGCCUCCCGCCCUGUUCAGUUCCAGCCCAGCCACGGCCGCCGCCAACGAGGACACGCACUGUCUUUCUGCACAUUCCCACGUACACACACCCCCGCAGCCCCCUCUCCACUCAUUCCUGCAUUUCCGGCAAUGUGAAUUCUGACAGCUCGGGCAGUGUCAGCCUCUCCGGUGCAUUCCUCACCACACCACCUCACUGCUCCCGAGCCUGCUGACAGCACUCCCCGCCAUACCUACCAAGCCGAAGGUGCAAGGAACCUCUUGAUCCCCACUGUGUCUUUGUCCCAGGGCCACAGCAAAAUAGCACCCCCCUCCCCCACACACCCUCUAGCCUAAUUUAUUAGACUUUUAAACACAUUUAUUUACUGUGAUAUCUACACCACACCAAACAUCUGGAGGGAAACCGGGAGACAAUCCACCAGGAAUUUAAAUGUUUGUUCUGCAAUGUAACUUUGAAAACCGAACCAGGAAAACUUGACAUCUUUAGCCAAUUGCUUGGUGGAGUGAAAUCCAAUGGGAUAUUGGGGCCUGCAAAGGAGAAGAGGAGAUCCGCACAAACCCGUUCCUGGCUGCUGCAUUCACCUCCAGCGUUUGUGAUGCCCCAGAGCACAGAACUCCAGGGAGCCCACGAUGCAGGAGAGUUCAGCGACAUUCACUGAGUACAAGAGAAGUGAGUUACUCCUGCAGCUGAGCACGGGGGGCGCUGGCAACUGCGAAAGGUCUCGCUUUCCAUUCCAACCAGAACUUGCUCCUAGCGCAGACAGAAGGCCGUGGCAUUCUGAGAAACACACAUGAUGAAGGAGCCCUGUCAUAUCCUCUCUUCCUUGCAUCGCUUCCCCGUGUGAGCAACCACUUGUGCUGGAAAUGAUGACAAGGAAGGACCGGGAAAGACAGGGCCACCCGCAGUUCCUUUUCCUUGACGUCUUUCCUUCCUCAUCAGCGAGCUGAGGUGGAGAGCGUUGGUAGAAUGUGUGCAUAAUAAGAAGUGAAAUAAAAACAGUCGAGUUAGUAUUCUACUGUUUCCACUGUUCUGGUGAGAACAAAACACAUAUGCUGUAUAUGCUUUGAAAUACAAAGUGUGUAAUUUUAGUGAUUCUGCAUAGGAGUUAAAUGUUUUUAUAUUUGCAUUUAAAACUGCCAUUGUAUACUAUAAAGAUAAAGAGUAAAAUGUAUUCUAAUAGUUUAACUUUACUAAUAAUUUAGUUUUUACUUUUAUUUACCUAGAGUAACAUUAAAUAGCAAACAAACAAAACAAACAUCACAAGUUGAGAGAGAAACCACAAAAGAAAGAAAAAAGCUUUAUAUGUUAGUACCUUGAGAGGCACUUUUUCCUGCUUUUUGAGUAGGGAUUCAUGUUUUCCCGUUGCACUGGGCCUCACAAAUAAUGUAGCCAGCCCUGCCUUCAAAGUGCAUUCAAGUGACUCCCCCUUCAUAAUCACUUAAGCCUGGAGCCACGGCCUUGCCCCUGAACACGUAGAACAGUCAUGGCCGUACCAACCGUGAGCCAUUCUUGCCUCUCUCUCUUUUGUCUUAUUCUCUUGUCAUCUGUCCACCUCGCAGGACUGUUGGGAGGCACCAAUGGACUUUGCAACUGGAGAUCUCCCAACUGGACCAUGUCACUGUUAUGUUUAAUUUGCACUGUGCACAGUAGGUACCCAGUCAACGUUUGUCGAAUUCCAUGGACUGGGCCUUAUACCUCCGAGGAUUUUUCACAGCAGUAGCAUGUGCACAUGCACAGAACGAGAACACAACCAAUGCUUGUUUGCUGGUGAAGACCUGGUCUCAGUAUUUUGCCCAGGAAACCCUUUCUUCAUGGACAGCAUGAGGCAAGCUAUGGCCCUUGCUGUGGUCUCAGUGGUUCAGCACGGAAGAUGAAGAUGACGGGCAGUCUCAGAAUAUUAGCUUUAGAAGGGACUUUGGAUCCUUUUGAUUUUGGUAGGUGAAAUACUUUUUAAAAAUAAAGAAAACGGACUUUGGACAAAUGCUCUCAUUUUGUAAAUGAAAAAGUAGAGACAGGAAGAGUAACUGAUUUGUCCAAAAUCAAACA